GAAGACGAUGAGGAUUAACAUAAGCAGCAACCGAUCUCGGAGAAGAUGGUUUAUACCAGUUGCACCAACAAGAAUCAAAUCCUUUUCCAUCAUGUCAGAGACCCGUUCAAGCAUUGCCUCGCAAACAGAAUUUUAACCAGAUCCAAAUCAGACUCAAAUAACAAACAAAAAACAUUAGAUGUGGUUUUAUAACGGUACCUAGAUGUCAUCCACAGUGUAUCUUGUGCCGAUUAGAGAAAAACCCAGUGGAUCUUCUGACAACCCCACUGGAUCUUCUGUCGAUUGAGAGAAAAUGAACGAUUCAGGGUUAUU
rnacentral:lncRNA from 1 species